CACCUAUGAUAUUCUCUUUAGAGUUGUGCUCCAAGUCCUUGCCUACAUGUAGUGCACAGCUUUUAUUCCCAUUAGUGAAGUCAUGGAAAAAUCACAGCAAAAGAAAGGAGGCUGGUUGUCUGCUUCAGGACUGCAUGAAGAAGUGCAACAACUAUGUACACGUCUUUACUUUUAUUUUUUUCUUGUGAGUUUCCCUUCCCCUAAUGAACACACGCUGUUUGCUUGAACCCCGGAGUACUUGGUUGUGCAGAUACAAUCUGUAAAAUUUGUCUGUAAUGGGUACAUGCCUUCCCAUAGAAGGGGAACAAGGGACAUAAGGACACAGUCUGGACUGGAACUUUAAAUUCUCCAAAUUUCCUUUGUGCUCUUGCAGGAGAGGAACGAGGGCCAUGAUGGAGUGGUGAGGGUAUCGAAAGGAAGCGGUGGUAUUUCCAUCGGCACGCUGCUAUGGCUGCAGAGAGAGCAUGAUGCUCGGCUCCGCUCAGGCAGAGCUGGAGGCGCCUCUCACCAGCAACCACCCAGACGAGAUAAAGCAAGCAGCAGUGAGCACGCAGGCAGCUUUCUGCAUGUAUUCAUUUCCAGCUGAUCAAAAUCCCGGCAGUGAAAUGAAAGCAAGAGCACACGCUGAAAAUGGAAACCCUGCCCCGAGAAGGUAGACUGGCCUCCAGAGCAGUCUUUGGCAUUUGAAUACUUGUUAUAUUGCAAGGAGGCGGUGUCGGACCCGCAGUUACAGGGCUCUAUCUAUCCUCUGCUCGUCUCCCAGUCUCGCCCCGGUGAGUUUGCCGUGGCAGCAUCGCCCCAGAUGCUGCUGCAGAGAUGACAUGCCAGCCGCAGGGCUUGCGGGAAGUUUAAGAGUAUUUUAAAUAAUGCGGGCUGCUUGGUUAGCUGGGCGAGCCUCCCGCUGCCAUGCAUGGCAAACACACUCCAUUUUUUUUUGGCUUCGAGUGCACUUUGCGUGUCGUCAAUGCAAAAAAUUAAGUGGGUGCAAUAUGUCAUAAAGAUAGACUCUCCUACCCCCAAAAACACACCCAAAAAA
rnacentral:lncRNA from 1 species